UACAGGGGGCGCGAGCGUUGCUCGGAAUCACUGGGCGUAAAGCGUACGCAGGCGGGUCGAUAAGUCUGUUGUGAAAUCCCAGGGCUCAACCCUGGAACUGCAGUGGAGACUGUCGAUCUUGAGUACGGGAGAGGAGAGCGGAAUUCCUGGUGUAGAGGUGAAAUUCGUAGAUAUCAGGAGGAACACCGGUGGCGAAAGCGGUUCUCUGGGCCUUACCUGACGCUGAGGAGCGAAAAGCGUGGGGAGCAAACAGG
rnacentral:rRNA from 1 species